UUCUCGUUCUUACGCUUCUGCACAGAAAAACAAAAGAGAACAACAAGACCAAACUCUCAGCUUUCUCUUGCGUUUCUUCCUCAGAGCAACAACAACAACAACUCUUCCUCUCUCUCACUCGCUUACGGACAACAACAAAACAACCAUACUCUCUUUCUCGCGGUGUUUCUCUCGGAACAACAACCUUCGAACCUUCGGCAGCCAUGGAACAAGAACCAGAGGGAAAAUCCAGGUACAGUAAUAAUUAACAGUGAUAUUGAGCGUGAGGUAUGAAGUAGACUUACCUACGGCGAGGAGGUUUUCGCCGGAUUUAUUCGUUGAGCCCCUGUUUGAUGAAGACGAUGCAACCUCCUCUUCUUGGACUUGUAGGAAUUUUGGAUGUUAGGGAUGCUCGAAGGUUGAGCUUGUUGGAAGUUGAAGACUUGAAGAUGAAGCUUCAAGUUUGUUGAAGGAUGCUAGUAAGUGAGGUAUGAAACACUUACUUCUCUUCUCUUUUUUUUUAUCUUGUAGAUGAAGUUCUUACUACUUCAACAAGACUUUUUUUAUGUGAAAGAAGCUUUGAAGUGUGAGAACUUUGUGUGUGUUCUCCGAUUUUCCUUCCUCUUCCCAUAUUUUCUUGCCUUUCCUCUAUUUAUAGAGGAACAAAUGAGGGACAAUUUUGGUCAUUUUGGAACCAAAGCUUAGUCCUUAAGCUCACUUAAUUACUAAGUUGUCAUCAUUGCAAAGAAUAUUCUUUCCCAAAAUAAUCAUUGCAAGAAUUUCUUUCAUGCUAAGUUUGCUUAAUGGCAAAGCUCCACAAAUUUGUGCACAAGGGAGAAUAUGCACAUGGGAUGGAAUAUAUUAUGCACAUCUCUUGCAAGUGAAAGUUCCACGACAAUCUUGUCUUCAUGUCAUGAAAUUGGUAGUCUCUAAGUAUAGCACUUAUGACAUAAUAUAUAUCCCUUUGACUUUCUUUGACUUUUGACUUUUUGACUUUGAUUUGGGCUUUUGGGCCCCCUUGAAUUAUUUUUGUGAGACUUUUGCUAAUUCCACCCUUUUUGUUUCUUUUUCAUGUUGCAUGAGAAUUCUUGAAGGAAGAAUAAAGAAACUUGGUCUUGAAGAAUGGAAGCUUGAAGAUUGAAGAAUAAAUUCAAGAAAACUUUGUAUUUUUCUUUUGUUGUAAUUCUUGAACUUAAUAUCAAUGCAAUUUUGGU